rnacentral:rRNA from 1 species
CCUACGGGAGGCAGCAGUGGGGGAUAUUGCACAAUGGGGGGAACCCUGAUGCAGCGACGCCGCGUGGGUGAAGGAGCGUUUCGGCGCGUAAAGCCCUAUCGGCAGGGAAGAAGGAGGACGGUACCUGACUAAGAAGCCCCGGCUAACUACGUGCCAGCAGCCGCGGUAAUACGCAGGGGGCAAGCGUUAUCCGGAUGUACUGGGUGUACAGGGGGCGCAGACGGCAGCGCAAGCCAGGAGUGAGAGCCCGGGGCCCAACCCCGGGACUGCUCUUGGAACUGCGCGGCUGGAGUGCAGGAGGGGCAGGCGGAAUGCAUGGGGUGGCGGGGAAAUGCGUAGAUAUCAGGAGGAAAACCGGUGGCGAAGGCGGCCUGCUGGACUGCGACUGACGUUGAGGCCCGAAAGCGUGGGGAGCAAAGAGGAUUAGAUACCCCCGUAGG